GACGAACGCUGGCGGCGUGCUUAACACAUGCAAGUCGAACGGAAAGGCCCUGCUUUUGUGGGGUGCUCGAGUGACGAACGGGUGAGUAACACGUGAGUAACCUGCCCUUGACUUUGGGAUAACUUCAGGAAACUGGGGCUAAUACCGGAUAGGAGCUCCUGCUGCAUGGUGGGGGUUGGAAAGUUUCGGCGGUUGGGGAUGGACUCGCGGCUUAUCAGCUUGUUGGUGGGGUAGUGGCUUACCAAGGCUUUGACGGGUAGCCGGCCUGAGAGGGUGACCGGCCACAUUGGGACUGAGAUACGGCCCAGACUCCUACGGGAGGCAGCAGUGGGGAAUAUUGCACAAUGGGCGGAAGCCUGAUGCAGCAACGCCGCGUGCGGGAUGACGGCCUUCGGGUUGUAAACCGCUUUCGCCUGUGACGAAGCGUGAGUGACGGUAAUGGGUAAAGAAGCACCGGCUAACUACGUGCCGGCAGCCGCGGUGAUACGUAGGGUGCGAGCGUUGUCCGGAUUUAUUGGGCGUAAAGGGCUCGUAGGUGGUUGAUCGCGUCGGAAGUGUAAUCUUGGGGCUUAACCCUGGGCGUGCUUUCGAUACGGGUUGACUUGAGGAGGGUAGGGGAGAAUGGAAUUCCUGGUGGAGCGGUGGAAUGCGCAGAUAUCAGGAGGAACACCAGUGGCGAAGGCGGUUCUCUGGGCCUUUCCUGACGCUGAGGAGCGAAAGCGUGGGGAGCGAACAGGCUUAGAUACCCUGGUAGUCCACGCUGUAAACGGUGGGUACUAGGUGUGGGGUCCAUUCCACGGGUUCCGUGCCGUAGCUAACGCUUUAAGUACCCCGCCUGGGGAGUACGGCCGCAAGGCUAAAACUCAAAGGAAUUGACGGGGCCCCGCACAAGCGGCGGAGCAUGCGGAUUAAUUCGAUGCAACGCGUAGAACCUUACCUGGGUUUGACAUGGAUCGGGAGUGCUCAGAGAUGGGUGUGCCUCUUUUGGGGUCGGUUCACAGGUGGUGCAUGGCUGUCGUCAGCUCGUGUCGUGAGAUGUUGGGUUAAGUCCCGCAACGAGCGCAACCCUUGUUCACUGUUGCCAGCACGUUAUGGUGGGGACUCAGUGGAGACCGCCGGGGUCAACUCGGAGGAAGGUGGGGAUGACGUCAAGUCAUCAUGCCCCUUAUGUCCAGGGCUUCACGCAUGCUACAAUGGCUGGUACAGAGAGUGGCGAGCCUGUGAGGGUGAGCGAAUCUCGGAAAGCCGGUCUCAGUUCGGAUUGGGGUCUGCAACUCGACCUCAUGAAGUCGGAGUCGCUAGUAAUCGCAGAUCAGCAACGCUGCGGUGAAUACGUUCCCGGGGCU
rnacentral:rRNA from 1 species